rnacentral:rRNA from 1 species
UGAGGAAUAUUGGUCAAUGGGCGAGAGCCUGAACCAGCCAAGUAGCGUGCAGGAUGACGGCCCUAUGGGUUGUAAACUGCUUUUAUGUGGGGAUAAAGUGCGUGACGUGUCAUGCAUUGCAGGUACCACAUGAAUAAGGACCGGCUAAUUCCGUGCCAGCAGCCGCGGUAAUACGGAAGGUCCGGGCGUUAUCCGGAUUUAUUGGGUUUAAAGGGAGCGUAGGCUGUCUAUUAAGCGUGUUGUGAAAUAUACCGGCUCAACCGGUGGCUUGCAGCGCGAACUGGUCGACGUGAGUAUGCAGGAAGUAGGCGGAAUUCAUGGUGUAGCGGUGAAAUGCUUAGAUAUCAUGACGAUCUCCGAUUGCGCAGGCAGCUUACUGUAGCAUAACUGACGCUGAUGCUCGAAAGUGCGGGUAUCAAACAGG